UUUCUUUCAAGAAGUCUUUCGUGAAGAAUUUGCUAAAAUGAUAAUCUUAGCCGUUGAUUUCGAGAUAACCGUUUUCGACCCCAACAGUUAGCCCCCCAGCCUGCAAGACUCGGAGACGAUUUUGCGGGCGAGUGAAGUGUUUUUAAUCGGAAUUUUCGGUUAAGGGUACGUUUUCUCGUAGAUUGUCCUUUGAGAUUAUUUUACUGCGGAAAUCCACGUCAGCCUCAUAUCCUUAUAAGUAGCAACUCAUCAAUUACCAUUC
rnacentral:lncRNA from 1 species